rnacentral:rRNA from 1 species
CCUACGGGGGGCAGCAGUGAGGAAUAUUGGUCAAUGGCCGGAAGGCUGAACCAGCCAUGCCGCGUGAAGGUCAGUGCCCUAUGGGCGUUAAACUUCUUUUGUGCGGGAGCAAUAAUGGUCACGUGUGGCCCGACGAGAGUACCCUACGAAUAAGCCUCGGCUAACUCCGUGCCAGCAGCCGCGGUAAUACGGGGGAUGCAAGCGUUAUCCGGAUUUAUUGGGGUUAAAGGGUGCGUAGGCUGUGAGGUAAGUCAGCGGUGAAAUGCCCCCGCUCAACGGGGUGAAGUGCCAUUGAUACUGCCUUGCUGGAAUGCGGAUGCCGUGGGAGGAAUGUGUGGUGUAGCGGUGAAAUGCAUAGAUAUCACACAGAACACCGAUUGCGAAGGCAUCUCACGAAUCCGCGAUUGACGCUGAUGCACGAAAGCGUGGGUAUCAAACAGGAUUAGAUACCCUUGUAGUC